AGUCAACAGGCCAACUAAAAGCAUACAAAAUACUGUAAUUUCAAAUAACACUUUUAGACAAAAAUGCGUUCUUGCCUACUCCCUAACUUAUUCUAACUUUGUGUCCAUUUUAAUAUUCCAGAAUGGCCAUGAAACAACGUAUUUAAACCAUCAUUAAUCCAGCUGUGUCUGGUUCUUAAAAAAGAGCAGGCCAGGGUGGUCAACUGAGCACUUCAAAACAAUGUUAAUGUUGAUUUUUCACACCGUGGAGGUCGGCGAGAUAAGUUAAAUCUUAGCCUGUGGUGGCGUAAAAAAGGGCAACACGUUUAAUAUUUAGUGCACGUCGGCUUAAACAACUCCCAAAUCCAUCUUGUUAAAGUGUCAAUGGUAUAGACGAGGCUCUCUGCUUGCCUCCUCGGACCUCCCUGAGCAGCUGAAGAGACGCAGCGGGGCUAUUCACCGCGGAGGGGGAGGGUCGUCGAGGUAAAUUCAUAGCCUGUGGUGGUGUAAAAAAGGGCAAAAAUUUGGUAUAUGGUAUAUUUGGUGCAUUUUGGCAUAAAUUGAUAUUAACUCGUAAAUCCAUCUUGGUAAAAUGUCAAUGGUGAGCAAAGUAACAAAAGCAAGAGAGGCCUUUCCUGUGCGACAAAUAAAAAUAAAAAGUUAAGAAAAAGACUUUUUAAAUUAAACUCAUCGCCAUGUUACAGGGGGAAACACUGAUUACGCUGAGCCUUUGGAGGGAGAGAAGCUGCCGUCAGUGAUGUUCUCCAAGUGGGGACACAUCAGAGUGUCCCAUCUUAGAACCACCAGUCCCAAUAGGGAAGCGCAGGCACAGUCCCCCAACCUCUCACUUGCACCCACUCACUCCACACUUCAUAAUAAACGGGGAUGGACAGGGACGUCUGAUGUGUUUCCGUGUGUUAUUUAUUAUAUAAACCACAAAAGUCUCUAAUAAAACCAGAAAAGGUCCCACGGAUGUGUCGCUUGUGCCAAAAAGUCGCCAUGAGGGUUUUGAAAGUCAAUUUACCUAUAUAGUCAAUUAAGUCUACUACUCUGGAUAUUGCUUUAUGUUCAUACUGUACGCGUAAAACAGGGUUCAUGUUUUUAUCUGGCGUUUGAAAGCACCAUUUCUGACUGCCCCUGAACGCAACAUCGCAGCUCCGCUAAUUUGUCCUGAAGUCUUCUCUGACAACAGAACAUCAUAUUCUCUGUGGUUGACCAUCACUGCUAGUGACUUAUUGCUGACUCUGAGAAGUGACCUGUUUCCUCCCAGGACGUCUUGGUGACUCCUUGGUGUUUUGACAGUGCCUUGCUGGCCAGCGUCUCUCCUCUAUCAUAUUGGCACUCUGUCUAUCCUAUACCUUCUAUCCACUCUGUCUCAAUAUUGGAACCUCUAUCUAUCCUGUCACAUCUA